CACGUAGGGUGCGAGCGUUGUCCGGAAUUAUUGGGCGUAAAGAGCUCGUAGGCGGUGUGUCGCGUCGGCCGUGAAAACCUGCAGCUUAACUGUGGGCUUGCGGUCGAUACGGGCAUCACUGGAGUUCGGCAGGGGAGACUGGAAUUCCUGGUGUAGCGGUGAAAUGCGCAGAUAUCAGGAGGAACACCGGUAGCGAAGGCGGGUCUCUGGGCAGUAACUGACGCUGAGGAGCGAAAGCGUGGGGAGCGAACAGG
rnacentral:rRNA from 1 species